GCAGAGGCUCCGCCCCCAGCGCGCGCGCGUGACGUAGGCGUGGGUGACGUAAACGUGUGUGAUGUGGGUGACGUGGGUAACGUGCAGGGAGGAUUGAGGGAGCCACACGGAGCCACCAGCACAGCCUGGGCCUUGCAGAUUCCGUGUCAGGCUUUAUUUCUUGGAGCAGCAGGAUGGAUGGACGCCUUGGAUGUCUCUCCGGCUGUCCUUGGCACCGGGAGCCUCCCAAGCUCCAUCCGCGUGUGCUGGGCUCGGGAUGGGCUGCGUUCCCUGGGGACAGCCCCUCCCUGUCCCCUCCAUCCCCUGGGUCAGGGGACAAAGGCCGGGUGACGUUUGGUGCCCUGGAGCAGAACUGGGAUGGAUUUUCCAGCCGAGCCAGGAGGUUUUGAAAGGAAAAGCAGCAGCAGCAGAACCUGAAAUCUCCUGCCCCAAAUCCUGGAUCCCCCGUGCCGGGAAGCUGCACCCACCCUGCCAGGGAAGCUGCGUCUCCUGGCACAUCCCUGGCAUCAAUUCCAGCCCCGCUGCUUCCUCCCACGCCCCGACUGUCACCGUGAGUCACCCCAAGCCACGCGGGACCCCUCGUGCCCAGCGCUCCCGGGGUUUGGAGCAUUAAACCCAACUUUUGUGGGGUUUUAUCCCUUCGGGGGGUUCAGGAUCACGCUGAGGGGGUUGAUCCCAAUGGAAAAACUUCCUCCCUCUUCCCAAAACCACCGAGGAGACGCAUCCCGGGCUCAGCCCCUCCGUCAGUUCGGGCACCGGAGGGCACUGAGCACCACGGGCAUCGGGAGCCGCCGAGUCCCUCCUGCCCCUUCCUCCGGCCUGGGAGCGGAGCGGGCACAUCUCGAGACUGCUCCUGCCCCACCCCAUGGAAUCCGUGCCCAUCCCGGGCCCUUCCCUGGAAUUACGGCCCCUUCAGUGCGGGGAGCACGGGCAGAGCUGCGAUUUCUGGGGCUGGGGCCGGAAAAAACAAUGAAACCCCUCAGGAUUUGUGGGGUUUGAGGUCAGACAGCUGCAGAGCAAAAUCCCCUUCACCUGCCAGGGCUGGAGCCGGUGGGAAUCAGGGGUGGGAUCCAGUGGGAAUCAGGGGUGGGAUCCAGUGGGAAUCAGGGGCUGGAGCCGAUGGGAAUCAGGGCUUGGAUCCAUUGGGAAUCAGGGAUUGGAUCCAGUGGGAAUCAGCAGCUGGAGCAGGUGGGAAUCAGGGGUUGGAUCCAGUGGGAAUCAGGCCUGGGCUGCGCUCCACGAACCUGGCAGCUGUUAAUUGAUGUUAAUCCCAUCAAUGCAAAUCAUAUUAAGCUCCCUGGACCCUUCCCAGUGGCAGCGCUGAUAAUUCCCUAUAAAUCAAAUUUAGCGGCCCAUAAACAUUGGAACAUCCCACAGCCGUUUUCACCCUCCUAAAAACCCAUCAAUUGCUGCCUGCCUGGAUUAGAGGAAAUAAAUUCGGGAAUUUAUCUCCCUGCCACGAUCAUGGAUGAAACCACAUGAAAGAGACACUUGGAAGCUGCUUUUGUGUUGAUUGUUACGGAGGUGCUGCUCCCUGGCUCCUUCAAUCCACUCGGAAUUGGGGGUAAUUGAGGGAUUUGAAGUCCUUCAAUGCCUAAAUGAUGGAAUUGUUGCUUCUCUGAGCCCUCAAACAUCUGUGGGAGCAAUUUUGGUGCAGGUGAGGAGAAAAAACCACCUCGGAAGGAUCAGUGUUUGGAAAGGAGAAUAAAUCCCUUUAUUUUCUCUUUUUAGGGAUGAGGGGAAAGGAGAAAGGAUCUGAUGGGGGAAGAAAGAGUUUGUUCUGUUCAGCUCCUCGAACAGAAGACUGGGAAGUGUUUUUAUUCCGACAGCUCAUGGAAUCCCAGGAUCUCUGAGCUUGGAAAACCCUCCAAGGUCACCGAGCCCACCCUGUGCCCGAUGCCCGCCCUGUCCCCAGCCCAGAGCACUCAGUGCCACCUCCAGGAAUUCC